rnacentral:rRNA from 1 species
GACGAACGCUGGCGGCGUGCUUAACACAUGCAAGUCGAACGGAAAGGCCCUGCUCUUGUGGGGUUCUCGAGUGGCGAACGGGUGAGUAACACGUGAGUAACCUGCCCUUUACUUUGGGAUAACUUCAGGAAACUGGGGCUAAUACCGGAUAGGAGUUCCUGCUGCCUGGUGGGGGUUGGAAAGUUUCGGCGGUUGUGGAUGGACUCGCGGUUCAUCAGCUUGUUGGUGGGGUAGUGGCUUACCAAGGCAUUGACGGGUAGCCGGCCUGAGAGGGUGACCGGCAACAUUGGGACAGAGCUACGGGCCAGAGUCGUACGGGAGGCAGCAGAGGGGAAUAUUGCACGAUGGGCGGAAGCCUGAUGCAGCAACGCCGCGUGAGGGAUGAUGGCCUUCGGGUUGUAGACCGCUUUCGACUGUGAGGAAGCGUGAGUGACGGUAAUGGGUAAAGAAGCACCGGCUAACUCCGUG